UUUCUCCCCAAAGAGAUGAUGUUUCCCAAUAGCGCAUGCAGGUGGACCCUAACCUGGCACACACAGGCCCUCUUGGCCCUCCAGCACUGGUGCCUGGGCUCUACCAUUUGAUUGCACCCGUGUCUGUCUGUGCUAGGGCUCUGUCCUGGUCCUGUCACCCCUGAGGUAUCCUUGGAGCAUAGGGAUGCCAAAGAGCCCCAUGUGAUCUUGUCAACUCUGGGUAAACUCAAGAGGCUCCUUGGGUUUCUGAGCUGAGGGCCAAGGCAGCCCAUGUCUGGGCUUCAUUACAAAGAAAAGUGGCAAUCAAUGGGCAAUGUCCAUUAGGAGUUUUUGGAAAGGGGAUCUGGGGCGACAAACCUAGAAAGGGAUGAGGCAAAUAGUACAUCGCUGCCUUAGAUGGCUGCUUUGCUAUCGGGCUGCACUGUCUCACCCGCCAGGUGGCCGAGGAGGCCGUCGGAGGACCACAAAGCUGCAAGUGGCUUUCCUGCGGCCUGCAGGGAACAGGUGGAGGACACUUGGAAGGGCACCCACCCCGGGUCUCACAGGAGUCUGCACCCGCAGGUCACACUGGCAUUAGCCCCUCAUCCUCUGGAGUUCAUCUCAUCCAGGCGAAGACAGCUGGCUGGCCUCAGAGGGUGAGACGCAACUCGAGGGUAAAAACAUUUUUACAGGGCAUGGACACAAAAGUGGCCUUUACCUCUGGAUAAGCUUUUAAAACUUCCCAUUUACAUGUAAAGGUGUACUUUCUAUGUGCCACCAAGAAACCUAAAGUGAGUAAAAGGUGUUUCACUUUAAUCAAGUUCCCCAAUGAGGGGGCACAGCUCUGAAAAGCACUGUCACAACAGGAGAUUCGAGGGUGCAUGCAAAGCAAUGUUUCUAGAAAAUGCCAAAGGAAACAGACACAACUCCAGUGUGGACUCCCGCUUCCCUGCACUGCUGCUCCAUCCUCAGGGCGGAGGCCACAUCGUCCAGCUAGCUGUGAGAACCUCAUCAUGCUCCUUGAUUGUGUGCAGCAGGUGUCUGCUGAAGUCCUCCACACUCUGCCUGUGAGAAAACUGUACUACAGAAAGGUGAGCACCUUGCCCAAAGUUACGCAGAAAGUGAAAAAACAAGAAUUCUAACCCAGACAAGUAAGUUGUAUAAGCAAAUGAGGCUAAUAGAGAUGCCAACCAGGUGUUCAAAGGGUUAUAGUUACUUCUGGAAGUGAGGUGAGGCUCUGUAAUAGCUAAGACGUGAACCUGGUUCUCCAGGGUAGAGACAAGAGGCAACAAGAGAAGGGACUCUGCAAAGAAACCAGCAAUAGGUUGGGAACACAGGGAUGGAGAGCAGCCACGAGUUUACCUAGGUUGAAUUUGGAAAGUCUGUGCAGAGAAAGAUGCAGGUCCCACUGGGCAUGGUGGCUCACACCUGUAAUCCCAGCACUUUGGGAGGCCGAGGCAGGCGGAUCACUUGAGCCCAGGAAUUUGAGACCAGCCUGGGCAACAUGGUGAGACCCCAUAUCUACAAAAACUACAAAAAUUAGCUGGGCAAGGUGGCAUGCACCUGUGGUCCCAGCUACUUGGGAGGGUGAGGUGGAAGAAUUGCUUGAGCCCAGGAGGUGGAGGUUGCAGUGAGCCAUGAUCAUGCCACUGUACUCUAGCCUGAGCAACAGAGUGAGACCCAGUCUCGGGAGAAAGAGGGAAAGAAAGAAGGGAGAGAGGGAGGGAGGUAGGGAAGGAAAGAAGGAAGGAAGGAAGGAAAAAGAAAGAAGAAAGAAGGAAGGAAGAAAGGAAGGAAGGAAGGAAGAAAGAAAGAGAAAGAAAGAAAGAAAGAAAGAAAGAAGAAAGAAAGAAAGAAAGAAAGAAAGAAAGAAAGAAAGAAAGAAAGAAAGAAAGAAAGAAAGAGAAAGAAAGAAUCAUGCAGCUCCCUUAUUCCCCAGGCAUUCACUGAGCACUUAGUGUGUCAUAUGCAGGCUUUUAGGUUUAGGGUCCUGGGCAAUGAUACAGACAAGACAAACAGAGUCUCCUCCUUCAUGGAACUUACAUGAGUGGGACGGACAACAAACAAAUGGUCCAGACGAUUUCAGAUAGUGAUGAGUGUUCGGAGAACACUAAGCAGAAUGAUCUGAGUUUGCAACGGGCAUUGCAAUGCCUGCUGGGCUCCUUACCCCUCAGGACCUUUCCACUGGCUGCUCUCAAAGGCUGAAUAACCUUUGCCCUGUUGCUGCAGGGCCAGAUUCUCUUCUUGCAGGAUUCCUUUGACUAAACUGUCACCUUGUCAAAGAGGUCUGAUGCCGACUAAAAGUUCUCUGUUACUGGGCGUGCAGAGAGAAGCCUAUUGUGGCUGUAAGGAUGGGUGAAGGAGAAGGGCACAAAGUGGACAGCAGAAGCAGGAGCUGUCACACAGGCCUGGCCCAUCAUGGUGGAGAGUUUGGAUUUCAUUCUAAGCCAAAUGGGAAGUCAUUUUUCUUCUAAGCACAAGAACAACAUGACUGAAUUUAUGCUUUAAAUGAGCCACUUUGACUGCCCAGUUUCUCAACCACAUAGUCGAUAGAUAUAUAGAUGUAUAGAUGGGUAGGUUGGUAGACAGACAGACAGACAGACAGACAGACAGACAGGCAGACAGAUAGAUGUAUAUGUAGGUAGAUAGGUAGAUAGAGAGAUGAAUAGGUAGGAAGGUAGAUAGAUAGAUACAUAGAUACAUAGAGAGGUGUAUAGGUAUAGGUAGGGAGGUAGAAAGAGAGAGAGAUGUAUAGGUAGGUAAGUAGAUAGAUGUAUAGACAGAUAGAUAUAUAGAUAGAUAUAGAGAUAGAUAGAUGAUAGAUAGAUAGAUAGAUAGAUAGAUGUCUAUAGGUAGGCAGUUAGGUAGAUGGAUGCACAGAAGGAUGGACAGAUGGAUGGAGGGAUGGAGGGAUAGAUAUAGAUAGAUUUGUGAAUAUAGAUACCUAUCUGUCUCUCUCUAGCUAGAGAUAAAAUAGACAAGUGGCUUCAUGCAUCAGUAGCAUUGAAAGACACCUCGAAUGUGGCCUUACUUCAAGGUGAUGGAAUUUCUUUUUAAGCUCAGCUUCUACUUCCCUUCUGAGGAAGUUCAUGACAGGGAGCUGCUGCAACUGAUGUGACUUUCAACUCUAAUAUCCCGAUGAUGUAAAUGCACUGAUCAGCUCAGCAGGAUUUAAGGUCUCAUCCGCUGAGCAGUGCCUCCUCCCGAUUCAGCACGUCCCUGGUGCCGACUUUCUGCACGUGUUCACUUUGAGGCUGCAUUGUGGGCCUGCAAGAAAUGCAAAGCUGGUUGAGGCUUUAUUCAAUUCAAAUUCAAGCUGUUAAAUCGAGGCUCUCAGACUCCUGCUGCCUGGCCAGUGGAGAAAUUAACUUUCACAUAUGGCUUUGGGAUUUCUCUCUGUCAUCCUGGUCGACGUGUUCUCUCAUUUUUCUGAAGUCUGGGACCUCAACACAGACAUCUGGGUGAAGGCCUUGACAGCAGCGCUGGUGCAAAAUGAAUUGUCACAUCACACCCAACGUUCUCAACCUUUAGAAUCUGAAAGUAAGAAAAACACCUCAAACAAAACAUUAAAGAUUGAAUAAUUGAAGGCACUAUGCUUGGUGCUGAAGAAGGUCUAAGGAGGUCUACACCACAGAGGCUGCACCCACUCCUCAGCCUUGCUGAGCCACACCAUUCUCAUCUCUACAGCAUCCACCUCUCUUGGCUCUUGUAAGGAUUGAGACAUGCCACCAGGCUUACUGUAAGCACUGAACAGCUGGGAGGAUUUGAUGCUGUCCCACUGCCAUACCAAGGGGCAAGUUUUCUGGACUUGCCUAGACCUUAUAGCAGAUUAAGUACUUUUAUUUCACUGAACAAAGUUUAGAGAUCAUUUUACAUCACUGAACAAAGUUUAGAGAUUUGGAGAGUAUUUGUUUUUAAUUUCUAUGGAUCUGCUUAUACUUCUCUUUUGCAAAUUGAAACACCGUGGAAGAUUUUUUGGAACUUAGGUUGAGAGUUGUACAUGGCUUCAGAGUUGCUGUGGAUUUCUAUCUCCAUGGGGCCAUCUGUCUCAUCUGUCUAUAUAAUGGUCAUGCACUUUGCAGAGCCUGCUUCAAUGUCUGCUAUACUAUGGCCACUCUGCCAGUGUUGUUGACAAACAGAUGGGUUUUGAUGGCAGAGAAACUUAUAUUUAGCAAGUCUUCCUUUUGCCCUUGAACUUUUCCACCUGUUGUUUGCACCAGCAACUCCCAUGGCAAAUGUGAAAAAGCAAAAAAUAAGGAAUAUUACAAGAUGGGACUAACAUUAAAAUGUAUGUUUUCAUCAAACAUGAUCAAG
rnacentral:lncRNA from 10 species